rnacentral:rRNA from 1 species
AAUCAACGCUGGCGGCGUGCCUAACACAUGCAAGUCGAACGCGAAAGUCCCGCAAGGGAUAAGUAGAGUGGCAAACGGGUGAGUAACACGUGGGUGACCUGCCUUCGAGUGGGGGAUAACGUCCCGAAAGGGACGCUAAUACCGCAUGAUAUCCCGCCUUUUAACAGGUGGAGCUCAAAGCUGGGGAUCGCAAGACCUAGCGCUCGGAGAGGGGCCCGCGCCCGAUUAGCUAGUUGGGGGGUAACGGCUCACCAAGGCAACGAUCGGUAGCCGGCCUGAGAGGGCGGACGGCCACACUGGGACUGAGACACGGCCCAGACUCCUACGGGAGGCAGCAGUGGGGAAUUGUUCGCAAUGGGCGCAAGCCUGACGACGCAACGCCGCGUGGAGGAUGAAGAUCUUUGGGUCGUAAACUCCUUUCGAUCGAGACGAAGUUUUCCCGGGGGUGAAUAAUCGUCCGGGGUUGACGGUACCGAGAGAAGAAGCCCGGCUAACUCCGUGCCAGCAGCCGCCGUAAU